rnacentral:sRNA from 1 species
AUCAAUCCCCUCUUCCCGCAUGCGGGGAGAGGGUUAGUCCUCGGGU